UCCAUCUCUCCCGUAUGUUCCUUCUCUCCUAGACUGUAUGGUGUGAGAUCUCAUGUGGUGUAGUUACUUGCAGGCAGGUGAGUUCGCUGGCAUGGCAUGGAUUUGGAUGGGGAUCCGGUUGGCAGCUCGUCGGACGUGGUAGCCCCUCUCAGCUCGUAGAUUUCCCCCACUUGCAUCACCGAGUUGCACUACAACACCAGUGCCAUUGGACCAAACCUGUUCCAUUGAGAUGAGGGUAUUCAGAGGACGGAGGCAACAACACAAUUUGAUUGGGAUUCUAUGGUAGUUUCUGAUGUUCUAGAGAAAGAAGGAAGAGUAGAAGUACCAUGUGAAAAUGAGAUAUAUUGUAAUAUUGGACUCAAUAAAGAGGUCGAGGCUGAGAACAGUAGAAGAGAUGAAUUUUAUAGAUAUGGUUCAACUUGUAAUGUGCAAGAAAUUAGGGAUAUUGACAAGGAUGACCACCAUGUUGAUCAGCCAUGUGAAGACUUUCUUCCAGAUCAGAAGAGGGUGGUGUACGAUAGGAUGAAUCCUUCUAUGUAGCUAGGUUGUUUGUUUCCUAACAUGAAAUAAUUCAGGAUUGAUAUGCGUCAAUAUGCAAUAAAGUAUGAGUUGGAGCUUGGAAUUGAUGUUACUUUGACAACCAAAUAUGUUGGCUAUUGUAAGGGUGGUGAUUGUCCUUGGAGGAUCUAUGCACGCGAAGAAAAGAAAUGAUUGCCUACUAUUGUGGUUGUUGUACUAGACGAUGUGCACACUUGCACAUUUAGUGGAAGGAGGAAGACUACUACGUCUACCAGUGGUUGGGUUGCAUUCCACGCUCUAUCUUUGCUCAUGAAGAAACACCAAAUGGGUGCUAAAGAGUUGCAAGAAACACAACAGGGCAGUCAUAAUGUCACUAUUGGGUACAAUACAGUUUGGAAGGGCAAAGAGAAAGCGUUGAAAGAGUAGUAUGUGUCUUGGGAGGAAAGCUUCUAGCUCUUGUUCUCUUGGAGGGAGGUUGUACUUGCAAAGUUGCCUGACAAUGUUGUUGAUGCUUUUGUGGAAGAUGGAAAGUACUAUUUGAAAGAGAAAUGUGCCCUUGGGCCAUUUCUAAGUAUUUUAGUGAUUGAGUGCCAACACAAGUGGUCAUGUGUUAAUCUAUGCCAAAUGAUGGACAAAGUGAAAAUCAACAUAAAGGUAUGUUUCUAAGACUUAGUACUUUGUUUUAAGGACUAAUGUAUUGUGUCUAAGUACUGGAAACAGGAGAAAUCAAUUUGGAAAAGAGAUGGCUUUGUUCAGCCAAAGACAAUUCAGUCUGGGAGCACCGGACUGUCCGGUGGUGCACCGGACAGUGUCCGGUGUGCCAGGCUGGCUCUGGCGAACUGGCUGCUCUCGGGUUUCGUCGGCGGUGUACGGCUAUAAAUCACCGGACUAUCCGGUGGUGCACCGGACUGUCCGGUGAGCCAACGGUCGGCCGAGCUAACGGUCGACCGCGCAAUCCGCGCGUGACGUGUGGCCGGCCCAACGGUCUGAAGGGGGCACCGGACAGUGUCCGGUGCGCCAACGGCUCCAAAUCGCCAACGGUCGGCUGCGCCAAAACAGGAAAGAAAUCCGCACCGGAUAGUGUCCGGUGGUGCACCGGACUGUCCGGUGCGCCAGUCGACAGAAGGCAAGAAUUGCCUUCCUGGAAUGCUCUCAACGGCUCCUAGCUGCCUAGGGGCUAUAAAAGGGACCCCUAGGCGCAUGGAGGAGAACAUAAAGCAUCCUUUGAGCAUUGUUGAUCAUUCACACUCCAUUUUGGCGCACUUGUUCGACAUUCUUAGUGAUUUGAGCGCCGUUCUAGUGAGAACCUCGUGAUAUUCUUUUGAGCUCAAGUCUUGGCCUUGUGUGUGCGUAUUUGCUGUGAAUUUGAGUGUGUUGCUUCCCUCUCUUACUCUAGUGCUUCAUUUUGAUUCUUAUUGUAAGGGCGAGAGACUCUGAGUUGUGGAGAUUCCUCGCAAACGGGAAAGAGUAAAGUAAAGAAGAACACCGUGGUAUUCAAGUUGAUCAUUGGAUCACUUGAGAGGAGUUGAGUGCAACUCUCGUCCGUUGGGACGCCACAACGUGGAGUAGGCAAGUUUUAUACUUGGCCGAACCA